UGAGCAAUCUGCCCUUCUCAUCGGAAUAAGCGUUGGAAACGACGUCUAAUGCCGAAUACGACCUCCUUUCGCAUGAUCGGAGGUGGAAAGCUCCGGCGGAGAAGGAUGAGCUCGCGGCCUAUCAGCUAGUUGGUGUGGGUAAUGGCCCACCAAGGCGACGACGGGUAGCCGGCCUGAGAGGGUGACCGGCCACACUGGCACUGAAACNCGGGCCAGACCUCCGUACGGGGAGCAG
rnacentral:rRNA from 1 species